rnacentral:rRNA from 1 species
GGGCUGCUCCUAGUACGAGAGGACCGGAGUGGACGCAUCACUGGUGUUCGGGUUGUCAUGCCAAUGGCACUGCCCGGUAGCUAAAUGCGGAAGAGAUAAGUGCUGAAAGCAUCUAAGCACGAAACUUGCCCCGAGAUGAGUUCUCCCUGAGCCUUUAAGGCUCCUGAAGGAACGUUGAAGACGACGACGUUGAUAGGUCGGGUGUGUAAGCGCAGCGAUGCGUUGAGCUAACCGAUACUAAUGAACCGUGAGGCUUAACCUU